UAGGGAAUCUUCCGCAAUGGACGCAAGUCUGACGGAGCAACGCCGCGUGAGUGAAGAAGGAUUUCGGUUCGUAAAACUCUGUUGUUAGAGAAGAACAGCGCAUAGAGUAACUGUUAUGCGUGUGACGGUAUCUAACCAGAAAGCCACGGCUAACUACGUGCCAGCAGCCGCGGUAAUACGUAGGUGGCAAGCGUUGUCCGGAUUUAUUGGGCGUAAAGCGAGCGCAGGCGGUCAAUUAAGUCUGAUGUGAAAGCCCCCGGCUCAACCGGGGAGGGUCAUUGGAAACUGGUUGACUUGAGUGCAGAAGAGGAGAGUGGAAUUCCAUGUGUAGCGGUGAAAUGCGUAGAUAUAUGGAGGAACACCAGUGGCGAAGGCGACUCUCUGGUCUGUAACGGACGCUGGGGCUCGAAAGCGUGGGGAGCGAACAGG
rnacentral:rRNA from 1 species